AGAAGUGGAUUGCAUGCAUUGCCAAUUUUGUAAGUUUGACACUUCUUCUGAAGAGUUGCUACUGAAACAUUGUCGCCUCCGUCACAAAGAUUUCUGAAGAGUUUUAUCGGAUCACAGGAAGAACCUCCUGGUCACUUUCCGUGCAUCACUUGACAAAUAUGUGCUUCACCUAUUAAAACUCUACUGGGCAAAGAAGGGAACAUUUGGUCCAGAGAUGGAAGACCUCCUGGAUAAGCUUGAUGAAGAGAAAAGUGACAUUGCAUCUCAACGAAAGACAAUAGCUCUGAGAGGACUACAUCUUCAUCCGUGAGGACACAUCAAAGUUUUUGUUGAAGUGUUUGGAGACUGACCCUGCGAAUGCUGUGGUCCAAGGUGUGUCUGUUGGCAUUCUGACUGUCUAUAAAGAUGAUGAUGCCUCCACAUCACCAACUGUGCGAGAUGUAGCUGUUGUGUUGGAAGGAUGCAUAAUACUGCAUGACUUACCUGACCUCCAGACUGCCUUUGCAUACCUCUUUGGCCUUUUGUAUGCCAUAAACAUUGAAUAUCCAAAAUUGUUGAAGUAUACCUUCGAAGCAAUUCAGACCAUCUUUUUUGAGCUUGGGUCCCGAUGCUCACGGCGCAUCAGGUCUCUCAAAACAAAGCUUUUGCACUAAAUGUUUGUAGACUGUUGAGUCCUUUCUCUUUCACCCUCUGGUCAAAGUGAAGUUACAUUUGUCUGUUUAGGCAGUUCCCAGCAAGAGUUGCAUAUAUGCUCAGUGCCAAAUGUUUUACGUGUUUCCUCAGAAAUAAACAUGGUAUGCACACACCGUUUUGUAAAAUGCCUAU